CCUAGCCAAUGAGCCUGUUCUUUGAUUUUGUGGGACUAAAGUGGACUGUGGACUGUAUAGCUCAUAAAGGUGCGGAAAGAAUACAAAACAUCCGGACAGCUUCUCAUCUUUUUGUCUGAAAAGUAUUUGAUGUAGACUGUGCUGGGGGGGUGACAAAGUUACUCCAGUUUGUGGAAAGAUAAUUCAUUUUGAAAAGCUGGACUGAUCAAGGAAGACUUUUGUUGCUGGCAUUAACUCAUUCACUGCCAUCGAUGACUUUAGAAGUCAAAUGGCCAUGUCAACUGGGAGGGCUGUCAGUGAAUGAGUUGAAUCGCUAUUUAACCGGAUCGACUUUUGAUGCUCAAGGAAGAAAAUAAGGACUUCAUCUGUAAGGAAAGAGGAAGAGAAAAAAAGUGAGCCACAUGACUCAGCAGAAAUGACAUCUUCAAGCUGACCAGAGGUCGACCUAAGACUUGCUGUGCAUCUGCUGAAAGUCAGCAGCGAUCUCCAAUGCUGUUUUAUUCCUCAUCUUGGGCACGUUGAAGUACACGUACAGCCCAGAAGUAAAGCACACCAAAAAGAAUAUGAGAAAGCAGAAGGAAUCAAGGUAGUCCUGGAAUGGAAGCAAUUGCAUUCUGGGCACGGGGCUGCCAGUAACGAGCCCAGCAAGCCCCCAAUGCUAAAAAUGGACACAGUGAAGGACCAGAUGAGCGAGACCUGCCAGUCCUUUGGACUUACAGCAGAAGGGGAUGUCACCACAGAUAUUCCGAAUCCAUACUGAAAUGUCCCGCCGAUGCCCGAGAUGAAAAUGGCAACGAUAACAAGAGGACAGUCCAGCUGCAAAGAAGAAGGAGGAGGAAGGAAAGUGAUGACUAACACUCUGGGCGGUCUGUAUUAGAGAUAUAUUUAACCACCGUCUUCAAAUCAAAUAAAGAUCCUUGAUAAACUUGUUGCAUUCUAA